rnacentral:rRNA from 1 species
GACGAACGCUGGCGGCGUGCUUAACACAUGCAAGUCGAACGGAAAGGCCCUGCUUUUGUGGUGUGCUCGAGUGGCGAACGGGUGAGUAACACGUGAGUAACCUGCCCUUGACUUUGGGAUAACUUCAGGAAACUGGGGCUUAUACCGGAUAGGAGCUCCUGCUGCAUGGUGGGGGUUGGAAAGUUUCGGCGGUUGGGGAUGGACUCGCGGCUUAUCAGCUUGUUGGUGGGGUAGUGGCUUACCAAGGCUUUGACGGGUAGCCGGCCUGAGAGGGUGACCGGCAAAAUUGGGACUGGGAUACGGCCCAGACUCCUACGGGAGGAAGCAGUGGGGAAUAUUGCACAAUGGGCGGAAGCCUGAUGCAGCAACGCCGCGUGCGGGAUGACGGCCUUCGGGUUGUAAACCGCUUUCGCCUGUGACGAAGCGUGAGUGACGGUAAUGGGUAAAGAAGCACCGGCUAACUACGUG